UACGUAGGGUGCGAGCGUUUAAUCGGAAUUACUGGGCGUAAAGCGUGCGUAGACGGUUACAUAAGUCGGGUGUGAAAGCCCCGGGCUCAACCUGGGAAUUGCAUUCGAGACUGCGUAGCUAGGGUGCGGAAGAGGGAAGCGGAAUUUCCGGUGUAGCGGUGAAAUGCGUAGAUAUCGGAAGGAACACCAGUGGCGAAAGCGGCUUCCUGGUCCAGCACCGACGUUCAGGCACGAAAGCGUGGGGAGCAAACAGG
rnacentral:rRNA from 1 species